GCGCGAAAACUUUACAAUGCUGGCAACAGCGAUAAGGGAACCUCGAGUGCCAGGUUACAAAUCUGGCUGUCGAGAUGCCUAAAAAGCAUUUCAUAGCAAGGGCCGGGCAAGACCGGUGCCAGCCGCCGCGGUAACACCGGCGGCUCGAGUGGUAACCGUUAUUAUUGGGUCUAAAGGGUCUGUAGCCGGCCGGAUAAGUCUCUUGAGAAAUCUGGCAGCUUAACUGUCAGGCUUUCAGGAGAUACUGUCUGGCUCGAGGCCGGGAGAGGUGAGAGGUACUUCAGGGGUAGGGGUGAAAUCUUGUAAUCUGUGAAGGACCACCAGUGGCGAAGGCGUCUCACCAGAACGGACCUGACGGCAAGGGACGAAAGCUAGGGGCACGAACC
rnacentral:rRNA from 1 species